UACGUAGGGUCCGAGCGUUGUCCGGAAUUACUGGGCGUAAAGAGCUCGUAGGUGGUUUGUCGCGUUGUCCGUGAAAACUCACAGCUCAACUGUGGGCGUGCGGGCGAUACGGGCAGACUGGAGUACUGCAGGGGAGACUGGAAUUCCUGGUGUAGCGGUGGAAUGCGCAGAUAUCAGGAGGAACACCGAUGGCGAAGGCAGAAUCUCUGGGCCGUAACUGACGCUGAGGAGCGAAAGCGUGGGGAGCAAACAGG
rnacentral:rRNA from 1 species